GCCCUUAGAGUUUGAUCCUGGCUCAGGACGAACGCUGGCGGCGCGCAUAACACAUGCAAGUCGAACGAGCAAGAGAGAGCUUGCUUUCUCGAGCGAGUGGCGAACGGGUGAGUAAUGCGUGAGGAACCUGCCUCAAAGAGGGGGACAACAGUUGGAAACGACUGCUAAUACCGCAUAAGCCCACGGCUCGGCAUCGAGCAGGGGGAAAAGGAGCAAUCCGCUUUGAGAUGGCCUCGCGUCCGAUUAGCUAGUUGGUGAGGUAACGGCCCACCAAGGCAACGAUCGGUAGCCGGACUGAGAGGUUGAACGGCCACAUUGGGACUGAGACACGGCCCAGACUCCUACGGGAGGCAGCAGUGGGGAAUAUUGCACAAUGGGGGAAACCCUGAUGCAGCGACGCCGCGUGGAGGAAGAAGGUCUUCGGAUUGUAAACUCCUGUUGUUGGGGAAGAUAAUGACGGUACCCAACAAGGAAGUGACGGCUAACUACGUGCCAGCAGCCGCGGUAAAACGUAGGUCACGAGCGUUGUCCGGAAUUACUGGGUGUAAAGGGAGCGCAGGCGGGAAGACAAGUUGGAAGUGAAAUCUAUGGGCUCAACCCAUAAACUGCUUUCAAAACUGUUUUUCUUGAGUAGUGCAGAGGUAGGCGGAAUUCCCGGUGUAGCGGUGGAAUGCGUAGAUAUCGGGAGGAACACCAGUGGCGAAGGCGGCCUACUGGGCACCAACUGACGCUGAGGCUCGAAAGUGUGGGUAGCAAACAGGAUUAGAUACCCUGGUAGUCCACACCGUAAACGAUGAUUACUAGGUGUUGGAGGAUUGACCCCUUCAGUGCCGCAGUUAACACAAUAAGUAAUC
rnacentral:rRNA from 1 species